AUCUUUCCUACCCCCAUACGGGUUUGGAGACCCCAAGGACUGGCUGAGGUGUGGGAAUCACUCCUGGCCGAGGUCCGGCCUCGCAAGGUAACAGAUACAUGCACGGACAGAACCAUGUGAAAAAGAAAUCUACCAGAAGAUGGGUCCAUCAACUCAUUGCUAAGCUACACUUGCUGAGUGUUUCAGCCACAGAAACCAGAAUAGCCCAGCAGUGCCCAGUAGUGCAGCAGUCACACCCAGGAACACAGACACAGAGACAAAGCUUGUGGAUUGACACUAUGAGCUAAAAUUAAAUCCUUACGCAAGCCUGUGGAUUCCAUCCGUGAAGCUGUGUUUACUGUAUCUCCAAACAAACAGUAACGAGGCAUUUUUAUUCCAACCACACCAGCUGCACAUGGACCUGGAAAUGGGAUGCAGAGAGGAACAUUUUUUUCAACCUGAUUCUUCAUGAGGAGGGCAAUUGUGCGUGGUGUAUUACCAGACCUUGUAUGGGUGUUAAUUCUCUGCGAAACCAGGCAACAACAUUGUCACUGUUGAUCUAGCAUUACUGUGUACCAGAGUGAAUUCCAAUGCGAAUCCAAACAGGCAGCCCUGGCAGAUGUCUCAGUUCAAAAGAUCCCAUGAAGCUGAGGAUGUCCAGAGCCAUCAUGGAGAUGUCCACUGCAUGCCGGUUGCCAUUCCUCUUUGGUAAACCACUCACCACCAUGUCCCCUGCCAGUGAGGAGGUACACUAAAGAAACUAGGAGACAGCAUAGCUGGGACAGGUGACCCAGACUAACCAAACGGAUAUUCCACACCAAAGAACAUCAUGCCUGGCAUAUAAACUGGGGGAAGUUACCUGGGAAGGAGGAUUAUAUGUGUUCGGGAAGGGGAGUCUGGUAUCAGUCAGCAGUACAACGAGCACCAUUGUACCUCAAAACCAGAAUUCUGCCAUGGUACAACAGCUGUGAUAUGCUGGUGACAUACCAUAACAGAGACCUGAACACAGUGACCCUGAAGACAGUGUUAUGAUAUUAGGCUGUAACAUCCAGCCACAAUGAAUCUGUGGAUCUCUUGUGAAACACUGAGUUUUCAUCAAGGACAUAGACUGAGUAGACAGAAAUUUUGAGUCUGCUUACAAGCAAUAAAACAAAAUAAAUACAUUACAAUGUAAUAAUAAUAUAAAAUUAAAUCUAAAAUUUGUGAAAUGAAGAAUGAAUAGAACAUUUAUGUUCA